GUGCUCGCUUCAGCAGCACAUACACUAAAAUUGGGACGACACAGAGAAGAUUAGCACGGCCCCUGCACAAGGAUGACACGCAAAUUCGUGGAACAUUCCAUAUUUUU